CUAACAAGGAUUCCCUUAGUAACUGCGAGUGAAGAGGGAAAAGCUCAAAUUUAAAAUCUGGCAGUGUUUCACUGUCCGAGUUGUAACCUAGAGAAGUGUAACCUGCACUGGACCGUGUAUAAGUCUCCUGGAAUGGAGCAUCACAGAGGGUGAGAAUCCCGUCUUUGACAUGGACCACCAGUGCAUUGUGGUUGUGCUCUCAACGAGUCGAGUUGUUUGGGAAUGCAGCUCUAAAUGGGUGGUAAAUUCCAUCUAAAGCUAAAUAUUGGCGAGAGACCGAUAGCGAACAAGUACCGUGAGGGAAAGAUGAAAAGAACUUUGGAAAGAGAGUUAAACAGUAUGUGAAAUUGUUGAAAGGGAAACGUUUGAAGUCAGUCGCGUUGGUUGGGGAUCAGCCUGACAUUGUUGGGUUUACUUCCUGGUCGACGGGCCAACAUCAGUUUUGACUGCCAGAAAAAGGCCAAAGGAAUGUGGCACCUUUGGGUGUGUUAUAGCCCUUGGUCGUAUAUGGUGGUUGGGACUGAGGAAAGCAGCGUGCCGAAAGGCCGGGUUUCGACCACGUUCACGCUGAGGAUGUUGGCAUAAUGGCUUUAAGCGACCCGUCUUGAAACACGGACCAAGGAGUCUAACAUGCAUGCGAGUGUUUGGGUGGAAAACCCUUACGCGUAAUGAAAGUGAAAGUUGAGAUCCCUGUCGCGGGGAGCAUCGACGCCCGGACCAGAACUUUUGGGACRGAUCUGCGGUAGAGCACGUAUGUUGGGACCCGAAAGAUGGUGAACUAUGCCUGAAUAGGGUGAAGCCAGAGGAAACUCUGGUGGAGGCUCGUAGCGAUUCUGACGUGCAAAUCGAUCGUCAAAUUUGGGUAUAGGGGCGAAAGAU
rnacentral:rRNA from 1 species